CUCUUCAUUUACUACAAAAUAGUUCCUCAAUCUGAGGUAAUAUAAUUCAAGAUACCUUAUUUGUAAUAAGCAUUUUUUUUUGGCAUUCUGUAGACUAUCAGAUAGUAAUGAUGACUGAGGUACUGAUGGAAGGGAAAACAAGCCUGAAUUAAGAAUGCAGAUUAAUUACAAUAGAAAAGAAUUACUUCCUCCUCCAAGGUGGAAGGAAAUUAAUGUAAACAACUUGCUCCCAUGUGGCUAAUUUAUCUCCUGACGGAGUGUUACGAGUCAUUGGUUUCUGCUGCUGACAGAUCACGUGUUCAACAGUGACAUAACUCCAUCAGCCUUAGACAAAGCUCAAGCUCUCGGGUCUUUGCCUAGCCUCUAUCUCUGCCACCAUGAUUACUUCACUUACGGGUUUGUUGUGUAAGCCUGGAGUGGUAAAGGGCAAGGCUGGUAUAAAUCUACUGAAGAAUCAUCCUGUCCACCUAAUCUUUGCCUCCUCAGGUUAGUGCUCUUUUAUUGACAUUCCAUGAUACAAAAAUCUACAAACUUUUCCAUAAUCAAGACUGUGUUUAUCCUUAACUCAGGCCACAUCUUUCUCCAUCACUCUGAAUGACCAAGUGUACUGUUUGAAGUUCUAUCAGGAAGAUUUUUCAUUUUUCCCUUACCACUGAUCCUUCCAGGCACCUCUGAGAGGAGACAGUGUGGAAGCCAGCCAUUUCUGGCUCACACCGAGAUAGCAAGCUGGUCUACCCAUGAACAAGACCCACAUUUUCCUUCCCUGUCAUCUGGUGAGAUUCCUAGGCAUUGUAAUGCAGACCAGGGAUUACCACCAUCCUGCUUAUCCUAGCAAUAAGGAGUGUGUCCAUGCCUUGCAACAGGAUGCCUUACACAGAUGAGUAAAUCACAGUACACAAUAAAUUUUAUGGCUGAAGAAAUUAUUUCUGCGGAAAUCUCCCUCUAACAGGACCCAGCCUCUACAUAGGACAUGUCUGGGAAAGAGCGAGAGAACUGGCCAAAACUCAAGAUGAGUCAUAGACCUUCUGCUGCAACAUGGCAUUCCUAUCACUUGUGCUAACAUUAGCCUGAUGAGCAAGAGAGCUGGAACCUGGGACCCCGAGCCCGGAGACCCUUCUGCUUCCGCUGGAGGCUCAGAGAACUCUACAUCCUCCAACCACAUCACCUGCUGGAGGUAGUCCCAACUUUGUCUUUUUCAAAAUGACAAAAGGAUUUUGUGGACAGUGAAACUAUUCUGUAUGAUACUACAAUAGCAGCUACAUGCCAUGCUACAUUUGUCAAAACUCAUGGAAUGUGCACCACACCAAGAGUGAACCCUAAUGGAUACUACAGACUAUGGUGUAAUGAUGUAUCAAGUUUCCUCAUUUGAAGCAUGUGACAAUUAACUGCCUGACCAAUCUCACAGAGGUUAAAUAAGAACACGAGAAGCUUGGAGAAGUAUAAACAUAACUUUGAAGUUAAUGGAAGCCGGGCUGCGCAGCUUAUGGGAUUUUGGUUCCCCAACCAGGGAUCGAACCCAGGCCCUCGGCAGUGAGCGCCUGGAGUCCUAACCACUGGACCACCAGGGAAUUCCCAAAAAGACCCAAGCUGAGGACCCAGAAGAGUAGAAGAAAAGAAAUUUUUUUUCUUUCUCUACACUGGGUAACUUUAAGAUGUAU